rnacentral:rRNA from 1 species
GAUCCUGGCUCAGGAUAAACGCUGGCGGCGCACAUAAGACAUGCAAGUCGAACGGACUUAACUCAUUCUUUUAGAUUGAGAGCGGUUAGUGGCGGACUGGUGAGUAACACGUAAGCAACCUGCCUAUCAGAGGGGAAUAACAGUGAGAAAUCAUUGCUAAUACCGCAUAAGCUAGUAGCAUCGCAUGAUGUAGCUAGAAAAGGAGCAAUCCGCUGAUAGAUGGG